rnacentral:lncRNA from 1 species
UUGAAGGGCCAGAUCACUUCAUUCUCAAAGCAGCCCUACGACAUAGGUCCUACCGUUAUCCUAUUUUAUAGGUGUUUGAGGUGACACACUGUUACACAAGGACCAUGUGACUUCAGGGACCCUGGAACUCAGGAAGAGAAAGCCCUCCCUCAUGAAGCACAUGCCACGCCAUCUGAUCACAGCGAGGACCUUCCAUGAUGUGUAAGUUGACUGCAGAGUGAAGAAGCCAAAAGCUAGCGUGGACAGGAUGGCCUCUCACAGGUGGACAUAGCAACCCCAGGAAACACCUCUGACCCAGACGGAUGGGAACUGGACCAGCCUUCUGACAAGAAGAGUUGCUCGCAGGAGGAGAGCAUGAAGGAUUACAACCGCUACUGCAUCUGGCAAGAGCAUUGAGGGGCGGAUAAAGUCCUUGGACAAGUUUCUGGUGGGCAGGAUAAUGGCUCCAGAAGGUGUCCAUUUUAAUUAUUAAAACAUAGACAUUAUUACCUCUAAAGUUAGAGAGACUUUGCAGAUGUGGUUGGGUUCAGGGCUUUGAGAUGGGAGACCAUCUGGCUUACUGUAGAUUCACAUCAUCUACAAAAGAAAAAGCAUGACCAUGGGCUGACAACUGAAAAAGAAGCUGCAAAGGGCAGACUCAGCUGCAGCAGAUACCCGACCUAUCAUCAAUUCUGAAGAUGGAGAAUGGAGCCACAAGACAAACAUGGAAGAUGACUCUCUGGCUGGGGGAAGGCCCUCAAGCCUUUCAGCCAGCAAGGGAAAGGGACCACCAUGCAGUGUAUGAGCAUUUUUGCAUGUCCAGUAAUGAAGGCUCAAAGAUGGAGCUGAAUUCCCUGGCAUGGGGUUCCUGGAUGGUUUUAAGCCACCAUGUGACUGUAGGGAACCCAACCUGGGUCCUCUGUGAAAACAGCUCCACCAUCUGAAGUUUCCAUAGUCUCUUGAACAGCGCCACCUGCUGGAGACAGAGUCUUCAGGCACACGAACCUCUCUCAGGGUUGGGAUUCCACAUCCAAACCGCAGAAGCUGGUCUUGCCAGCCUGCUGUCAGCCUCUCAGCUCUGGCCACUCCAUCCAAGGACCGCUGCUGUCUGCUAGCAGGGUGAGGAAGAUUUAAGAUGUCAUCUGUCCCCAUCAGUGCCCUAAGUAUACAGGGCUGAGUGGUUGCUCUCAAGCUGUUCCCACCGGGCAAUGGAACCAUUCCUUACUUACUGGUUUAUUAACAAAAAAACAUUUCCUAACUCACUAUUGUAAUAA